rnacentral:tRNA from 1 species
AUUUAAAUAAUAUAAUUAUUAUAUUUGACUUCCAAUCAAAAAAUCUAAACUAAAAUUUAGCUUAAAUA